rnacentral:misc_RNA from 1 species
AAAAAAGUAAUGGAACUAGAUAUUGUGCAUAACAAAAACGUAUCACCAUGUAAUUUCUGGUUUGCAAAAUUUUAAGUAAAAUAUUAUAAAUAGCAUCACUGAAACAAGAUAUUUUCCCAUUUCAAGAAGGUUUUUCUGCACAACUAUUGCCAUGGGACACGAGACAUCCAACGGCCAAAAAGAAAAAUACUACAUUUAUUGUAAAAUCAAAUAGACACCUUCAGUAAUUCAGCAAUCAUCACAGUUUUGUUGAUAGCUCUACCCGUGGCUUUCAGGACAACCUCAUCAGUGCCUUUGUCCUGUAAGAAUAUAAAACAUGGCAUUCAAAAACAACCCCAUAAUAGAAAAAUAUAUUAAUUUUAUGCAAUGCAAACCAUAAAUAAAAAAUGGAAGGAAAAUAGAGUCAUUGACGUGUACAUAUCCACCCGCAAAACACAUAUAUAUGUCUGCAAGAAUAUACUUAUGUGUAUAUGCACAAACAUACCCGCACACAUGUGUAAAAACGUGUGCACAGCUAACUAAGACAACAGCCUCUUCCCCCAACUAUCACCUGAAAAACUAUGAUGGGAAUCACAUAUUCUAACAAAA